UUAAAAAGCAAAAUUAGGUCAGCCUUAAAAUUCUUGUAUCCCAAGGAAAUUCCAUGUAUAAAAAUACAAAAGCUAAUUAGUAUUUUGUUGUAACUUGUAAUAUAGUCUGAAUUUGUUUAACAAAAGUUUCUUGGUCUCCACUCUAUCCAUAGUUCUCAAUACCAUCGAAUCAGAGCAAAAACAAAAAGGGUUGUAACUAACAAAGCAGCAUGGUCUAUGUUUGGUGCUCUCACUGCCUUAAUUUUUGCAGGAUGGCUGUCCACCAUGGCUUCAUUUUAAGUGCAGAUCCUGUUCAAUAUGUGGAAAGGUGUUAGAUGAAGUAAGUAAAAAGAAGGUUUCAAUGAUAAAGAGGAAGAGUACAAGGUUUAAAAGGACCAAAAGGCUGGGUAAGAGAAGACCAGUGUUUUGAUUGAUUCUUUCUUAUUAUACCUACAAAGUUAGAUCAAUUCUCCCCAUCCAAAUUAGAGAAUUUGACCCCGAUUUAUAUAUUUAUGUAUGCAUACUCUGAUUCUUUUAUUCAAAUAAAUUGUAUAUGAAGGCGAAUGGAAAAUAACAUUUGAUUAGAUUUGUCAUGUUAAUAAUUUUAA